rnacentral:tRNA from 1 species
GGAGGUAUGACUCAAGUAGAGUACUUGCCUAGCAAGCAUAGGUUUGUGAGUUCAAACCCAGUAUUUCCA